CACUACUAAGACAGGAGCUGGAGCCUCCUUCAACCAGCUUAUGUUAAUGGUCUGUACCUCCAGUUUGGGGAAUCUUAAGCAAAGAAGACUCCAGGACUAGUCUUAUGUCACAUCCAUCACUUGGGCAGUUAAGUCUGCUAGAGGACUUAUGAUGGUACCCAAAGUGAAGACAGAAGUCCAUAGGAGCACUGUGGAGCCUACCAGCUGAAGGGACCAAGCUCCAUGUUAGCACGUGCAAACCUGAGCACCUAGCGAAGCUUGUGGCUUCAGAGUUCACUGGAGUCUGAGUCAUUCUGAGAUCACAUUCUCUGAAUCCACCCUCCAUCCUCACCAGCCAGAACUGGCUGGAGACAGCUGGGACACAGAGAGACUGACAGGACUCGACUCCAACCUCUCCAUGGAGACUAAACAGAGAUUCCAGCAAGAGACAGCAAGUUGGCCGGGUCUCCUUUAUCCAAGUAGAAGGGGGAUACAAACACUCUCAGAGGAAAACAAGCUCUCUUUAUGAAGUUCAGCAAGCGCAUGGCUGUUUGGUGAAGAACUUCAGGUUUUGCUGACUAAUGAAAUUUCCAGUUUUGCUUGAUGGCUAAAGGAAUUUGGGCAACAUCUUGGCCUUCUUACCUCAACUGUGUCUGAAGAGGUUAGCAUCGAGCCCAGAAGACUCUGAUCCAAAAAGGGAUAGCCAUGCUUUUGGUCAUUCUGAGACAGUUACACAAAACUGCAACACAGAUGUCAAUAUUGUCUUCAGUUGCCCAAGGCUCCCUGGAGCUAAAGAUCUAACCAGAAGCAUGUUUGAGAGACUACGGAUGUGCCUACAUCUGGAAGGGAGAAGGGAGCACGCCCUCAGGUCUAGGGAAUGUGGAGCAGAUCCAAGCAGCCAGUCCCCGCCGGCUUACAGACACAGUUCACAGCUGUGAUCCACAGCCCAGCUCCUCACCAUUCCCAAAGAGUGUGUGUCCUCCAGUCAGUCCAUUUCCCAGCGGCGCUCACCUCCAGAGGCUGAGAACUGCUCCAAUGCUGGCAGUUGCUGAGCAGGAAGAGCUCUUCCAGCCAGCCUGGCCACGCAUGCUCAGAAGACCCACCUUGCAACUGUACAGAUUCUAGAACAUCUUCCUCCAAAAGCAGUGACCCACCCAGAGGACACAGAGUUGGGAAAGGAGGCAUUCCCUUGUCUAGGAUGAAGUGAAAGCCCAAAGUCCAUCCACUCACACCAGCCAAAAAACGGCGUCUAAUUACUGUUUAUCUUCAGCUAUCAGAACAGAUCAUGGGACCAUCUGCCUCGGAAAGGCUAAACUUCAUGCUGGUCCAAAGGCAAUCAAAAGGAAGGCAGGAGCCAUCACCCUUCACAAGAUGACAGGAACUGCAGGAUUGAACUCCAGCUCUCAGGAGCAGGCUUAGCUCUAAGAGCCCACAUUUGGGGGAAGAUACCCCAAAUGAUGGCUCUUAGAGCUAACAGGAAAUUGCAGAGCCUGAUACAGCAUGCAAGACACAGACAUUGCUCUCUCGGGUGACAGCAUUUCUGCAGGGAAGCAGAGACAACUCACACCAGCAUGGGGUUCUCACAGUGUUAGCGUGCUCAGAUGUGCUACCAGCUUCUUCACGAACAUUCCUUGAAAGCUGGGUAACAUUAAAAAGUACCUGGAUGGAGUUGGGAGCCUGCACUGCCUCCCUGUCCAGAUGAUCCACUGACCCCAAAGCUCAAGCACAAAGUCCAUUCCUGUCAACCAUCGACCUCACCGACACGAAUCACAAGUCAAGAACCCCGUGGAUUGCCCCACAGAGAAAGUUCUCUCAUCAGAAGAGCAACCGUCUGCCGCGGGGAAAGAGUAAUGCCAUCCCUAUGAAAUCUAUAAACUUGAAACAGGGACACAGAACUAGUGGCUGCCAAUAACUUUUACUUCAUUUAUCUAUAUUUGGCAAAAGCUGCACUGCAGCUGGGCAUGAGAUGCUGAGCUGGAUAACUGCGGAGGCGUGAGCCCCAAACAGCAAUUACAGCGCAGCGUUGCCUUGUGGAAGAUUUCACUUUUAUUCAUUGUUCUAAAGCAGAACUCUAGCCCGGUACAGUACAGGCCACAUUGUCAGCAUCCGCAAGGCCUGCUGCUCAGAAGGUCUGUGGCUCCCAUUGUCUGGGAAGGUGUGUAAAGGAAGGGGAAAGGUCUCCCUAAGGGCCGUGUGAGCGCAGCUUCCAUGCCAACCUCGUCAUCAGACACACCUCUCUUUUGUCUGUAACUAGAAGAAACUAUUUUCAUGUUCAACCCAAGCUUGGCUUAACAUAUACUUCGCAACCCUGAUGAUGUCUCCCCCUUCCUGUUUUUUUAAUCAGUAAAGAUAUUGAUAAUUAUAAUUGGCAGUGGGAGGAAGAGGUCUAUAAAUAUCUCAUCAGCUGCCACCAAGCGGGGAGGUGGGGGUGCAAAAGAGGUGGUCGCUACAGCUCUGAAGGGGGCUGGCUGGGUGGGGGCACGGAGCCUCACAGCCAUUGUCUCUCCAGCCAACAUCUGUUUCUUAUGGUGGGUGAUGAUUUUCAUCGAAUCACAGAAAUUAGAGCUAGAAAGGACCUAUUAGGUCAUCUAGUGCAGCUCUCUGCCAGUAGAGGAGGAUUCUCAACCCAGAAGACCAUUUCUUUGUUCCCUGCAGAGCUCUAGCACUUAUACUCAUGGAUGGCAACAGCAUUCAAGCAUUAUUAAAAUCUAUUUUUGUACAACAGGGACCUUUUACAUGUUCAUAAGACACAGCAAGAUGAAAUGUCCACAAUUUACAGAGCCCAGAACAAAUUCAACACAUAACAUUAGAACUCAAGAGAAAAUGCAAUUUCUCUCUCUCUCUCUUCAAAGAAGGAGAAAUAAAGGGCUGGCCAUGCAGUUAUUGAAGUUAUUUUUUAAUCCAGUUCUAAAGUUGUUUCUAAAAGUUGAAUUCUCUGGGGCUUGAUACAUCAUAAAGUAAAUGGACAUCAUUUACCUAUACGAAAACAAGACAGCUCGCCUUUGGGGUAAGUAAACGUAUGUCUGUUUCUGAAUCG